AGACCCGAAACCCGGUGAUCUAGCCAUGGGCAGGUUGAAGGUUGGGUAACACUAACUGGAGGACCGAACCGACUAAUGUUGAAAAAUUAGCGGAUGACCUGUGGCUGGGGGUGAAAGGCCAAUCAAACCGGGAGAUAGCUGGUUCUCCCCGAAAGCUAUUUAGGUAGCGCCUCGUGAAUUCAUCUCCGGGGGUAGAGCACUGUUUCGGCUAGGGGGCCAUCCCGGCUUACCAACCCGAUGCAAACUGCGAAUACCGGAGAAUGUUAUCACGGGAGACACACGGCGGGUGCUAACGUCCGUCGUGAAGAGGGAAACAACCCAGACCGCCAGCUAAGGUCCCAAAGUCAUGGUUAAGUGGGAAACGAUGUGGGAAGGCCCAGACAGCCAGGAUGUUGGCUUAGAAGCAGCCAUCAUUUAAAGAAAGCGUAAUAGCUCACUGGUCGAGUCGGCCUGCGCGGAAGAUGUAACGGGGCUAAACCAUGCACCGAAGCUGCGGCAGCGACACUCAGGUGUUGUUGGGUAGGGGAGCGUUCUGUAAGCCUGUGAAGGUGUGUCGUGAGGCAUGCUGGAGGUAUCAGAAGUGCGAAUGCUGACAUAAGUAACGAUAAAGCGGGUGAAAAGCCCGCUCGCCGGAAGACCAAGGGUUCCUGUCCAACGUUAAUCGGGGCAGGGUGAGUCGACCCCUAAGGCGAGGCCGAAAGGCGUAGUCGAUGGGAAACGGGUUAAUAUUCCCGUACUUGGUGUUACUGCGAAGGGGGGACGGAGAAGGCUAUGUUGGCCGGGCGACGGUUGUCCCGGUUUAAGCGUGUAGGUGUGUGUUCCAGGUAAAUCCGGUU
rnacentral:rRNA from 1 species